UCCCUGAUGGCUCAGAUGGUAAAGACUCUGCCUGCAAUGCGGGAGACCUGGGUUCUAUUCCUGGUUUGGGAA
rfam:TPA: Bos taurus chromosome 12, whole genome shotgun sequence.